rnacentral:rRNA from 1 species
GAUGAACGCUGGCGGCAUGCCUUACACAUGCAAGUCGAACGGUAACAGGUCUUCGGAUGCUGACGAGUGGCGAACGGGUGAGUAAUACAUCGGAACGUGCCCGAUCGUGGGGGAUAACGAAGCGAAAGCUUUGCUAAUACCGCAUAAGAUCUACGGAUGAAAGCAGGGGACCGCAAGGCCUUGCGCGAACGGAGCGGCCGAUGGCGGAUUAGGUAGUUGGGGGGAUAAAAGAUUACCAAGCCGCCGAUCUGUAGCUGGUCUGAGAGGACGACCGGCCACACUGGGACUGAGACACGGCCCAGACUCCUACGGGAGGCAGCAGUGGGGAAUUUUGGACAAUGGGCGAAAGCCUGAUCCAGCCAUGCCGCGUGCAGGAUGAAGGCCUUCGGGUUGUAAACUGCUUUUGUACGGAACGAAAAGGUCUCUCUUAAUACGGGGGACUCAUGACGGUACCGUAAGAAUAAGCACCGGCUAACUACGUGCCAGCCGCCGCCGUAA